rnacentral:rRNA from 1 species
UGGGGAAUAUUGCGCAAUGGCCGCAAGGCUGACGCAGCGUCGCCGCGUGUGGGAUGACGCCUUUCGGGGUGUAAACCACUGUUGCCCGGGACGAACAUCCCUUUUCGAGGGGACUGACGGUACCGGGUGAGGAAGCACCGGCUAACUCCGUGCCAGCAGCCGCGGUAAUACGGAGGGUGCGAGCGUUGUCCGGAAUCAUUGGGCGUAAAGGGCGCGUAGGUGGCCCGGUAAGCGUGCGGUGAAAGCUCGGGGCUCAACCCCGAGUCGGCCGUGCGAACUGCUGGGCUUGAGCACUGUAGAGGCAGGCGGAAUUCCGGGUGUAGCGGUGGAAUGCGUAGAGAUCCGGAAGAACACCGGUGGCGAAGGCGGCCUGCUGGGCAGUAGCUGACACUGAGGCGCGACAGCGUGGGGAGCAAACAGGAUUAGAUACCCUGGUAGUCCACGCCGUAAACGAUGGGCACUAGGCGCUUGGGGGAGCGACCCCCCGAGGGCCGACGCUAACGCAUUAAGUGCCCCGCCUGGGGAGUACGACCGCAAGGUUGA